AUAAUAGGGUUGCUCAAAAUUUACAAUGGCGAAACUGGCGAAAGAGAUAAUUUCACUACUAAAGUGAAAAUGAAGGAUGAACGCCAUUUUAACGCAAUUUUCUCCACAUUGAAAGUCAAGAUCCGAUUAAACGACGCGAGGGAUAUCGAAGCUCGAAGAGGCGGGCUGGUGAGAUCGAUAUCAGGCAUCGAAAACUCGGAAUGCUUAAAUCGACCGAUGUAACGACACCACGUGAAUAAAAUCUGUAUGUAAUCGCGGAAAGAACACGAUUUUCCACGUGAUCAUCACAAGAACGAUAAGGAAGAAAGAAGAAGGAUGAAUAUGUAAUCAACAAUGAAUCGAGUGGCAUGAUUGGUGAGCUAACAGAAUGGAGGGAAAAUGAUGCAAUUGAGGAGAAAGGCUAAGGAUUGAUUGGCGAUUGUUGCCAGUCUAAAAUUCAAAUUUAUGUAUU